GAGACGAAAAAGCCUUCAGAAACCACAGACAAAAGAGCAAAACUAAAAAACCAAUGCAAAAUAAUGGGCAACAAGAUCGCCCGCACAACGCAAGUUUCUGCAUCAGAGUAUUACCUCCACGAUUUGCCCUCCUCUUACAAUUUGGUCCUCAAGGAGGUGCUCGGCCGCGGCCGCUUCUUUAAGUCUAUUCUCUGCAAGCACGACGAGGGUUUGGUCCUCGUUAAGGUUUAUUUCAAGCGCGGCGAUCCUAUCAAUCUCAGAGAGUACGAGCGCCGCCUCGAACACAUCAAGGAAACCUUCCUUGCCCUUGACCACCCCCACGUCUGGCCCUUUCAGUUUUGGCAAGAAACAGAUAAAGCAGCUUAUCUUUUGAGGCAAUAUUUCUUCAAUAAUCUUCAUGAUCGGUUGAGUACUCGGCCUUUCCUCAGUCCAGUGGAGAAAAAAUGGUUGGCUUUUCAGUUACUUCUUGCUGUGAAACAGUGCCAUGAUAAGGGUAUUUGCCAUGGUGACAUUAAGUGUGAGAAUGUGCUGGUCACUUCCUGGAAUUGGCUUUAUCUGGCUGACUUUGCAUCAUUUAAACCAACUUACAUUCCCUAUGAUGAUCCUUCGGAUUUCUCAUUCUUUUUUGACACUGGAGGAAGGAGGCUCUGUUAUCUUGCACCUGAGAGAUUUUAUGAACAUGGAGGUGAGAUGCAAGUUGCUCAGGAUGCACCAUUAAGGCCCUCCAUGGACAUCUUUGCUGCAGGGUGUGUAAUUGCAGAGCUUUUCCUUGAGGGUCAGCAACUGUUUGAACUCUCCCAGCUUCUUGCUUAUCGCAGAGGACAGUAUGAUCCUAGCCAACAUCUUGAAAAGAUCCCAGAUUCUGGAAUCCGAAAGAUGAUUCUUCAUAUGAUCCAGUUGGAACCAGAGGCACGACUUUCUGCUGAAAGCUACCUGCAAAAUUAUGCUGCUGUCGUGUUUCCGACCUACUUCUCACCAUUUCUACAUAAUUUCUACUGCUGCUGGAAUCCUCUUCAUUCUGAUAUGAGGGUUGCGAUGUGCCAGAGUGUUUUCCAUGAAAUACUUAAGCAAAUGUUGAGUGAUAGAACCAGAGAGGAAAUAGAAACUGGACUAGUGACAUCCGUGAAUGGCAUGAGUGGUAAACUAGCGCUAGAGAUGGUUGAAAAACCAAACUUGGACUUGGCAAUGGACUCAAGAAAGAGAGAAAAGACAGAGAAGGGUUUCGUUCGUGAUCAAUACAAACUUCUCGGUGAUAUCAGUACCCUUCUUGGGGAUGUAAAACAAAGUAAUGACUACUCUGGUGUGAAGUUGGGGCCUGAGAGUACACCCAAUUCUGUAUUUUCCCAGGACAUCAAGCAAUGUGGCAUGCAGUCACCUGGCGAGCUUCUUCAAGCAAUCUCCAAUGCAUUUAGGAAAAAUGAUCAUCCCUUUCUGAAAAAGAUCACAAUGGAUGAUUUGAAUUCAGUGAUGUCUGAGUAUGACAGUCAAUCAGAUACCUUUGGCAUGCCUUUUUUACCAAUACCUGAGGAUGGUAUGAAAUGUGAAGGUAUGGUUCUGAUUGCCUCUCUCCUCUGUUCCAGCAUACGCAAUGUCAAAUUGCCGCAUUUAAGGAGAGGGGCUAUACUUUUGCUGAAGUCUUCAUCAUUAUAUAUUGAUGAUGAAGACCGCUUGCAGCGUGUACUACCAUAUGUUAUUGCUAUGCUUUCUGAUCCAGCAGCAAUAGUGCGUUGUGCUGCACUGGAGACUUUGUGUGACAUUUUACCAUUAGUUCGUGAUUUUCCUCCUAGUGAUGCUAAAAUAUUCCCUGAAUAUAUUCUUCCAAUGCUUUCCAUGCUUCCUGAUGAUCCAGAGGAGAGUGUGAGAAUAUGUUAUGCUAGCAAUAUAGCUAAGCUGGCACUAACUGCUUAUGGUUUCUUGAUUCACUCAAUAAGCUUGAGUGAGGCGGGUGUUCUUGAUGAAAUGACUUCAGCACGGAAGUCACUGGCAUCAUCCAAUGAGACAUCUGGACAGCUGCAGAGAGUAAAUAAUAAUUCCCAGCUUGGACAAUUGAGGAAAUCCAUUGCUGAGGUUGUUCAAGAACUUGUGAUGGGUCCAAAACAAACUCCAAAUAUCAGGAGAGCACUCCUGCAGGACAUUGGCAACCUGUGCUGCUUCUUUGGCCAGAGACAGAGUAAUGACUUUCUUUUACCUAUCCUUCCUGCAUUUCUCAAUGAUCGGGAUGAGCAGCUAAGGGCAUUAUUUUAUGGAAAGAUUGUAUAUGUCUGCUUCUUUGUGGGACAAAGAAGUGUGGAGGAGUAUCUUCUACCCUACAUUGAGCAGGCUUUAAGUGAUCAAACUGAGGCUGUCAUUGUUAAUGCACUGGACUGUUUGGCGAUCCUUUGUAAACGUGGCUUCUUGCGGAAGCAGACACUGCUUGAAAUGAUAGAACAUGCCUUUCCAUUGUUGUGUUAUCCAAGUCAAUGGGUCAGAAGGUCAGCCGUCACUUUCAUUGCAGCCAGCAGUGAGAACUUAGGUGCAGUGGAUUCCUAUGUUUUCCUUGUACCAGUUAUACGCUCUUUCCUUCGCAGACAACCUGCUUCCCUAGCUUCUGAGGAGUCUCUGCUUUUAUGUUUGAAGCCUCCUGUCUCAAGGCAGGUAUUUAACCAGAUUUUGGAAAAUGCUAGAAGUUCAGACAUGUUGGAGAGACAGAGAAAAAUAUGGUACAAUUCAUCAGCACAGUCCAAACAAUGGGAAACUACUGAUGUACUCAAAAGAGAGGAUGGGGAACUAAAUUCAAUAAAGAGUUGGUCUGACAAGAAAGUGGGUCCUGAGACUCAAAAACAUGAUGUUGAUGCAUUGGAGCAGCUGGAGGAUGGUGAGGCAAAGUUGAGAGCUAUGGGCUUUGUGAGCAGUGUUUCUAGUAUGGUCGACAUUCGUGAUCCUCUAUGCCCAGAAAAGUUACAUUUCUCUGGCUACAUGUCUCCACAGGUUGGUGGUGUUAAUAGCUUCAUACAUGAUAAGUCCUCAGAGGGCAUACCUUUGUAUUCUUUUAGCAUGGACAGGCGAGCAGUAAAAAUUCCUCCUGCAGCUUCCGAUUCUUCAUUGCGAAUGAACUCCCUUGGAAUUGGUUCAUCUUACAUUCCUUGGAUGGAUCCAGUGAAUAAAUCGUUUAGCUUGGCCAGUUCAGUUCCUGCACCUAAGCUGGUUUCUGGAUCAUUCAACAUCAGUAAUGGAUCUAAACAGUUCUACAGAGUAGUACAUGAACCAGAGAGCAGGGAAAAUGAUCAAACAACAUAUGUUAAUAGUAAAUUUCAGGAUAUGGGAUUAUCUGGUGGAACAAAGGGAGGUUCUUUUACGGUGGAAGAUGCUUCUGCUCCAACUGAUCUAACUGGAUUGCCAUCCUUUUCUCGGACCACAUCAAUACCAGACUCAGGCUGGAGACCUCGUGGGGUGUUGGUAGCACACCUGCAGGAGCACCGUUCUGCUGUCAAUGAUAUUGCAAUUUCAAAUGAUCAUAGCCUGUUUGUGAGUGCAUCUGAUGAUUCAACUGUCAAGGUGUGGGAUUCAAGAAAGUUGGAAAAGGACAUCUCGUUUAGAUCAAGGCUGACUUAUCACCUGGAAGGGAGCCGAGCACUUUGCACUGUAAUGCUGCGUAACUUUCCUCAAGUAGUAGUUGGAGCAUGCGAUGGCUCGAUGCAUGUAUUUUCUGUUGAUCACAUAUCCAGGGGCCUUGGCAAUGUUGUUGAGAAGUAUUCAGGUAUUGCUGAUAUAAAAAAGAAGGAUAUUAAGGAAGGUGCAAUACUUAGCCUUUUGAACUACACUGCUGAUAACAGUGCUAGUCAGAUUGUUAUGUACAGUACUCAAAAUUGUGGAAUCCAUCUCUGGGAUGUUAGAGCAAAUGCAAAUGCCUGGACAUUAAAAGCUGUUCCUGAGGAAGGUUAUGUGUCUUCUCUGGUAACAGGCCCGUGUGGGAAUUGGUUUGUCUCAGGAUCUUCUAGGGGUGUGCUUACACUAUGGGAUCUAAGGUUUCUUAUACCUGUGAACUCAUGGCAGUAUUCUCUUGCAUGCCCCAUAGAGAAGAUGUGCCUUUUUGUUCCUCCUCCAAAUGUCACUGUAUCUAAUACUGCACGGCCCCUGAUAUAUGUUGCCGCUGGUUGCAGUGAAGUUUCUUUAUGGAAUGCUGAGAAUGGGAGCUGUCACCAGGUACUGAGGCUGGCAAAUUAUGACAAUGAUACUGAAAUGUCUGAGACACCAUGGGCCUUAGCCAGACCAUCCAGUAAGACAAACUCUAAACCGGAUAUAAGGCGGAAUGUCAAUCCAAAGUAUAGAGUUGAUGAGCUAAGUGAUCCUCCUUCCCGUCUUUCUGGUAUCCGUUCAAUGCUUCCCUUACCUGGGGGUGAUUUGUUGACUGGAGGUACUGACUUGAAGAUACGUCGAUGGGAUCAUUGCAGGUUGUGGCAUGAAUUCUCCUUUUAUCCUAUGUACUGUUCAUCAUAUGGCAGUUAACUAACUCUGUUUAUUUAUUAUUGUAGCCCGGAACGAAGUUACUGUGUUAGUGGGCCAAAUUUGAAUGGAGUUGGAAAUGAUGAUAUAUUUGAAAUAAGAUCAAGUUUUGGAGUGCAAGUUGUGCAGGAGACAAAAAGAAGACAUCUAACUACCAAGUUGACAGCAAAGGCAGUUCUAGCAGCAGCUGCUACUGAUUCUGCUGGCUGCCACAGGGAUUCCAUCCUCUCUUUGGCUUCUGUCAAGUUGAACCAGAGACUUUUGAUUUCAAGCAGUAGAGAUGGGGCUAUCAAGGUUUGGAAGUAAAUAAUGUAAGCAUACAAGUGAUUUAUUGUACAUAUAAUGUUUGUUACAAUUGUAUAUAGUAUAUUAGGGCCAGGAAGUUAAAAUUCAGCAUUUUGAUGCUGAAUUUUAUUCUUAACAAUUUGCUUAUACAAUUUCACCCGUCCCUCAAGAAAAGGAAAGAAAAAGCGUCAUGGAUUUGUACAGUGAUGAGUUACAUACUUUAUAAUUUAAUCACUGGAUCAGAAAAGCUAUGAUAUCUAGGUGGUUGUAAAUUAUUUCUCCCAAUGCAUAUUGUACUUUUAUCUUCAGGGCGAGAUGCCUCAUUUUCUGUUGAUCUGGACCUUAUUAUCUCAUUUUUGAGUUAGUAUUGAUUCCCGGAACCAUUUAAUGGUCAAUAAUGGAGUAAUGUGGAUGGUCUGUUUUCAUUUGAGAACUGUGGGUUUGGACUUUGUGGGAUAUCCUUGAAGCCCUUGCUAUGUUGGUAUUCUUGGACAGUAAGGCAAUGAUAAAAAAUUCCUUAUUUUGAAGUCAUGCUUUAAUUCUAUGGUUCAGGCUUCAGCAGAAUAAGAACAUUUUACCCUAAUAAAUAUGAUAUAUUUUUAAAUUAUUUCAAAAAGUACCCUUUGACUCUUAUGCCACUCCAGCUGAUCCCAUGUGCCUAUCAGAAGAAGAAUCGGAUCAGCUAUUAUUAGAUGGCUGGUGGAAUUUAGCCUGGGCAAAUAAUGUCUGGCAUUUGGUUCUCUUUCCACAUAAGCCAUUUGUUGGUUUUUUAUUUUUUUUAUAUGGAAUUUGGCUUCUGUCUUGCUAUUUUUUGAGUGUUGCAUCUCACCAUUUCGUAUUUAAUUUUGUGUUUUCAUAUAUGAUUUUGAAUGUUGCAUUAUUACUACAUAUAUAGAUGAUAAAUAAAUCAUGCAACAUUGUACUUAGUAAUCAAUGCAUUCAUUAACUUAGAAUGAUAGGAUGGUUGAUUACCAAGGAUAGCAUUGCUUGCUGAAGUUAUCUGGUAAGUGUACUGAGCUAUAAGAGAAGUUGUCAAGUAGAAUAUGGUUAUAGGUGAUGAUAGUAGUUUCUUUAAAGUUUUAACGAAGUUUAGACGUAAUUAUGAAAUUGGUUAUGCACUUUAUUUGGAUCAGAAGGCCUUAUUUGGUUUUUGGCAUUGAUAUUGUUUUAUGAUGUUACCGUUCUAGCGAGAUAAAUUGUUUUGAGAUGCAUAUUUGAUAUGGAUUUUGAUGUUGGAUCCAAUUCGUACCUUGAUAUACCCUUUUUGGAUUAAGGUUGAGGUUAUAAUUGCUGAUCUGAAGAGAGAUUUAGCAAGUCAGCCUUUUGUGUGGAAUUUCUAGAAUAUAUGCAAUAUUUUCUUUGUCAAAUUCCAAGCUCAGUAUAGUGUAUGUGAACUACGUAUAAUGUAUGUAUAUUGUACAUAUUCAUGUUAAUUCACCACUUAGGACUUGUGAGGCAUGUCUGACAGCUCUAGACACUCUCCAAACUUCUUGUUAUACAUAUUUCACAUAAACCACAGGUCCAUUUACAGUUCCCGACUUCGCAUGGUCAUGAGAGGUAGGUAGCACUUGGAGAUCCAAUAUCUGCAUAUGGAUCCCCAUCGUAUAUCUGCUGAUGGAGAUCGAACAUGAUCUGGUGUUCUGCAGGUGGGUAAGUCAUAACUCUCACAUUCCUUUCCUAUAUUCAUAGGAGACGAUGUGUUGUAAGAAGAGUGGACAAAUAUGAUAUAAUAAAGAAACGUUAUAUUUUGCUUUCAAAUCUCAUAUGGUCAUAGCCGGUUAC
rnacentral:misc_RNA from 1 species